CUGCUGGACCGUAACUGACGUUGAUGCUCGAAAGUGUGGGUAUCAAACAGGAUUAGAUACCCUGGUAGUCCACACGGUAAACGAUGGAUACUCGCUGUUGGCGAUAUACGGUCAGCGGCCAAGCGAAAGCAUUAAGUAUCCCACCUGGGGAGUACGCCGGCAACGGUGAAACUCAAAGGAAUUGACGGGGGCCCGCACAAGCGGAGGAACAUGUGG
rnacentral:rRNA from 1 species